CUCGAGGGCCCUUGAAAUUAUAGAGCCGGCCCCGCGGCGGCGGCGGGGACCGGGGGCUGCGGCGGCGCGACGAGGCGGCGGCACCAUGUCUGCUGUAGUCUGUGGCAAGAGGUCCUCCAUCUUCGCCGACGAGCUCCUCCCGCCGUCCCCUCCCUCCCCUCACCACCAAACCCCACCACCCGGCGGCCAAGAGGUCCCGCCGCUCCCCACGGCACCGCGGCCGCCGGGAGGCACUCCUGCUCCAGCUGAUCCCCCUCUUCCCCGACAUGGAUCCCCAGUGAUAACAACAGAGCCCAGGAACAUCCUACUGAGGCACUUCCAUCAGAAAUCUGCUGACACACCCAUUGGUCAAGAAAAUUGAAGAUACGGCAAGAAAGGAACUGCUGAUUGAGUACACUGAAAGGCUGUGAACAAUGUACAUAGCAUUAUUUGACCAGCAAUUAUUGGAAAGAAAGAUGUGAGAAAGUGGAAGCUAGAGCCAAGGAGCUAUACAUGCUUGCAGGAUCUGAUCAGAAUUAGCAUUGUAAAGAUGCAUGGAAAGAUGCAGUAAGAGAUUACAUACUUUAGAUAGACAUAUUACUCAAAUGUUAACUUGAAUAUACCUUUGUGUAUCCAUGUUGUGUAUGGACACCUUUGAUUUGAAUA